rnacentral:lncRNA from 1 species
GGUUGCAGCGCCGGAGUCAUCGCCCUCGACCUGGCCAGGGACAUGCUCCAGGCCAACCCCAACAGCUACGCCGUGGUAGUGAGCACGGAGAUGGUGACCUUCAACUGGUACACGGGCCGGAACCGCUCCAUGCUCAUCCCCAACUGCUUCUUCCGCAUGGGCGGCUCCGCCGUGCUCCUCUCCAAUCGCCGUCGUGACUUCGGCUGGGCCAAGUACCGCCUCGAGCACAUCGUCCGCACCCACAAGGGCAGCGACGACCGCAGCUUCCGGUGCUGCCCAUCCCCAUCCUCUCCUCUUCUCGCAGAUCUAGCAAUUAGGGUUUUGCUGGGUCGAGGAUUCUGAAACGCUUGUCUCCAUUUUGGUGCAGAUGCGUGCACCAGGAAGAGGACGAGCAGAGGAUCAAGGGGCUGUCCGUCAGCCGCGACGUGAUGGAGGUGGGGGGGAGGGCCCUGGAGGCCAACAUCACCACCCUUGGGCCCCUCGUCCUCCCCUUCUCAGAGCAGCUGCUCUUCUUCGGCGCGCUGGUGUGGCGCUACCUCUUCGGCGGCGCCGCCGCCAAGACGAGGCCCUACAUCCCCG